UCAAGGAAUGAAUUGCUUACGCUAUUAUAGUAUAAUUAUUUGAAAACCGUACUGCUUUUAAUAACAUUUGCCUGACUGUUAUAGAAGGGAUAACGUUUGCGAGCAUAACGUAGAGGAAGUAGAGGUAUUAUACAUAUGUGUGUAUCUGUCUGUUAUGUUGCAGAAAUCCUUGCUGUAUGAAACUUUGAUAUCAGUAAGACAAUUCAUGUUGUGUCAGUUGUUGUUUAGUCUUUGAAACCGGUAGACGGGCCUCCAGCUCUGGUCCAGCAAUCAAACGUAGCUAUUAUUCAGGCUUAACUGAAAAGACACGUUUAAAAAUUCUUAACAGGUUAAAUAAAUGGCGAAACAUAACGCCAAUGUCAAACAUCAAAUAAUCGCGACUAAAAAAAAAAAGGCUGCUCUUCCCCAACCGAAUCAAAUGAAUAAAAAAUAAAAAUAGAAAAUAGAGAAAAAAAAAAGAAAAGGAAAAUGUCGGUGAUUUGUCAGUGAAUAGCAGUCAGUGAAUAUUAUGGCAAACGCGUCUUCGAUCCACUUGUGUCUGUCUAUGCUGUUUGCGAACGUGUGUCUCUGCUUCCGUCAUAAGGUUUCCCGAUAGUUAUACACUUUGCGAACACUUGCGAUUC